GACGAACGCUGGCGGCGUGCUUAACACAUGCAAGUCGAACGGUGACGGAGGAGCUUGCUCCUCCUGAUCAGUGGCGAACGGGUGAGUAACACGUGAGCAAUCUGCCCCUGACUCUGGGAUAACUGCGGGAAACUGUAGCUAAUACCGGAUACGACGCGCGAAGGCAUCUUCUGCGCGUGGAAAGAAUUUCGAUCAGGGAUGAGCUCGCGGCCUAUCAGCUUGUUGGUGAGGUAAUGGCUCACCAAGGCGACGACGGGUAGCCGGCCUGAGAGGGUGACCGGCCACACUGGGACUGAGACACGGCCCAGACUCGUACGGGAGGAAGCAGGGGGGAAUAUGGCACAAUGGGCGCAAGCCUGAUGCAGCAACGCCGCGUGAGGGACGACGGCCUUCGGGUUGUAAACCUCUUUUGGCAGGGAAGAAGCGAAAGUGACGGUACCUGAAGAAAAAGCACCGGCUAACUACGUG
rnacentral:rRNA from 1 species